AAUAUCUUUGGUUAAACAAGGAAAAAGAAGUUACAUUUACCGGUGUGGAAAAGACAUUUUAAUAAAGAUAUUAAAUGAAGAAGGUUUACAGUCCCCGCAAAAUCCAACGGUGGACGCGUUACGAAAGUUGUUAAGUGAUUACUACCAAAAUAAAGAGCAAACCCAACCUAAAAUUUCAAAACACAAGACCAUGACAAACUACGAAAUAAAACCAUUUAACGGAGACAAUUGGGAGGUCUUCGAACAACAGUUAGAAUCUAUAAUACUCUUAAAUGAUGUGCCAGAAGAUAAAAAAGUGGCAUUGCUUAUUACUAAAAUAACCCCAAAUGUGUUUGAAAUAUUACAAAUUUUGUGCAAGACAAAAAAACCAAUAACAUUAACUUACAAAGAGUUAUGCGACACGCUACGGGAAAAAUAUAAACUUACUAAGACACCAUUGUUAGACAGAGCUGAGUUUCGACGACGCAACCAACUACCUACUGAGUCAAUAGAAGAGUAUGUGUUAAAUCUCCGAAAAUUAUCUCGGAAAUGCCAAUUCAAAGACGAAGACGACCAGAUUAAAGAAAAACUUGUUGACGGAGUGUACUCUAAGCUAAUUAAAUUUGAACUGAUGAAACAAAGUGCGCAGGCAAAAUUAGAAGACCUUAUAAACCUAGCAAAAACAGUAGAGUCCGCAUAUAAGCAAGCUAAUGGAGAAGAAGAAACUAGCAAUAUUUCAUAUGUUAAACCUAAUUCCAAAAUGCCAAGACAGAGGUAUGACAAAAAUACAAAGAAGAAUAACAACAUCAAAAAUAAAUGCUUCUGCUGCGGGAAGGACACUCACGUCAAAAAAGAUUGUACCCUGAAGACAAAGUUUUGCUCGGAAUGUGGUCAGCAAGGUCAUAUAUAUAAAAUGUGCCCAAAGAAGUAUCGACAGACAAACAUGUUGGAUGUAUCGAAAGAAGAAAACAAAGAGGAACAAGGAUUGGAAGAAGUAAAAAACUUGUAUGAAGAGUAUAAAACUUAUACAUUUGACAGAAUGCCAAACAACUAAUUGAUCAGGAGUUCGCAGCAUUAUUCAGCCCGGGGUGGGGUGCAUUUAAAGGUGAAGCAAUUGCAUUAAAAUUAAAUAAAGAUGCCAUACCAAAGUUUCUGCCGGUUCGUCACUUCGAGAUAAGGUAAAACAUGAAAUUGAUAGAUUACAGAAGAAUGGUCGCAUAGUUCCAGUCGAACAGAGUCAAUGGGGUACACCGGUUGUACCAAUUAUAAAACCUGACGGCUCUGUAAGACUUUGCGGGGACUAUAAAGUCACUUUAAAUCCAAAUUUGGAAAUAGACCAUUACCCUCUUCCACAUGUGGAGGACAUUUUUGAAACUUUAAAACAGGGAGAAUACUACUGCGAGCUCGAUCUUCGGGAAGCUUACUUACAAGCUGCUUUGACUGAAGAAAGUCAAUUGUUAACCACCAUUGUAACAGAAUUUGGAACAUAUAAGUACAAAUACUUACCCUAUGGAGUUAAUACUGGCCCUGGUUCUUUUCAAAGACUAAUGUGUAAAAAACUAAUUGGUAUACCAAACACAAUUGUGUUUAUUGAUAAUAUCUACGUGGCAGGGAAAAGUUUGCAAGAAACGUAUGAAACGCUCGUCAAAGUGCUUAAGAGACUACAAGAAUGUAACUUCAAAUUAAAACCUGAAAAAUGUAAGCUUUUCACUAGCCACAUAGAUGUGUUUGGUUUUCGCAUAAAUAAAGAGGGAAUGAGUCUCAUAAAAUCAAAUAUUGAGCCAUUGCUAAAGGUUCCAGCACCGACUAAUCUAACAAUGUUAAAAUCAUUUUUAGGUAAAGUUAAUUAUUACUCCCGGUUCCUAAAGGACAUGGCUAAGAUUCUUAGUCCAUUAUAUGAAUGUACUAAAAUAAAUAAAUUUAACUGGACAGCGGACUGUCAAAAGUCUUUUGACACAAUUAAAAAUAAAUUAGCCUCUGCAGACAAUUUAAGACAUUUCAACCCGGACCUCCCAAUAAUAGUAACUUGUGAUGCUUCAAACUAUGGACUAGCCGCUGUUUUAUCAAACCGGGACCAAAAUGGUAUAGUUAAGCCCAUAGCAUAUGCUAGCAAAAAAUUAAACACAACUGAACAGAAAUAUGCUGCCAUAGACAGGGAGGCCAUGGGAAUAGUGUUCGCGGUCACCAAGUUCUACAACUAUAUUUAUGGCCGGCAAUUUGAAUUAGAAACAGACAGUGCUGCACUAGUCAGGAUUUUUGGACCAACUAAAGGUAUACCAAAAAUGGCUGCAAAGCGGCUACAACACUAUGCUAUAUUUCUAUCAGCUUUUAACUGUAAAAUUAAACACAUAAAAACUAACAAUAAUCCAGCAGAUUAUUUGUCCAGAAAUCCUGACAAUAAAGAAUGUACCAGCCAACAUAUCCAUCCAAUAUAUUAUAAUGUAGAUAAAUUGAUGCAUGUAUUAUAUACAAACAGCACGGAAAUUGACUAUUUGAAUUUCAAAACAAUACAAGAAAAUACAGAAAAGGAUCUACUUUUGAGUAAAAUAAUUGAAUAUUGUAGAACAGGUUGGCCCAAUAAAAAUCUUAUUAAAUCUGAUUUCUUACCAUUUCAUAAUAGGAAAAAUGAAAUUAGUGUGGAGCAGGGCUGUUUACUUUGGGGACAGAGUAAUAAUUCCAGAAGUAAACCAAAAAGCAGUGUUAAAAAGUUUGCAUAAAACACACUUUGGCAUCAUUCGCAUGAAAGAAAUAGCACGGUCUUAUUUUUGGUGGCCAAAUUUAAAUUCAGAAAUAGAAAAUAUUGGAAAGUCAUGUGUCAUCUGUUUAUCAAAUCUUAAAAAUCCCAUAAAAUCCCCACAAUCAUGGCCAAAACCACCUACGCCAUGGUAUCGACUUCAUGCGGAUUUUUUGGGGCCAUUUUAUAAUAAAAUGUAUUUAGUAAUUAUAGACAGCUACAGUAAAUGGCCCGAGGCUUUUGAAAUGUCAAACAUGACAGCCGCUAAAACAAUUGAUAUACUAGAUAGGCUAUUUAGUCGAUUUGGAUAUCCAGACCAACUAGUCACAGAUAAUCAGACUACGUUCACAGGUACGGAAUUUAACAAAUAUUGUAAUGAAAAUAACAUUAAACAAAUAUUUGCGCCACCUUACCACCCAGCGACGAACGGGGCUGCAGAAAGAUUUGUACAAACUUUUAAAUCAGCUGUUACCAAAAUAAGAGAGAGUGGAUGCAGUAUUAACUCUGCGAUCAAUUUAUUUUUGUUUGAUUAUAGAACUACACCUCAAAGGACUACAGGUGAAACGCCGGCCCGUUUGUUGUUGGGGAGGGAAUUAAGGAAUAGAUUUAGCUGCCUUAAACCUCCACCGAUAAUUGAAAGUUUAUCUGAAAGGGAGGGGAGAGAGGUAUGUAAAAGAAAAGUUAAAUUUGUAACAGGACAAAAAGUGAUGGUUAGAGACUAUAGAAAAGGCCAUAAGCCUUGGAUAGUAGGCAAAAUAGUGUCAGAAUCUGUUCCAGAUUUAACUUAUGUAAUUGAGGUUCAAGGUAUGAUGUGGAAACGUCAUAUUGAUCAAAUGGUGUAUUGUAAUGAUGAUGUCGAUAGUAAUUAGAAUUAGGUUUUGUAUCGUAGGCCAAGUUUAACUUGCAUUUAUUUAUAAAUGAUGCCAAGAUAAUAUAUAUACUAUGUACUA